rfam:Anopheles epiroticus strain epiroticus2 unplaced genomic scaffold supercont1.556, whole genome shotgun sequence.
CAAAUAUAGGGUUCUGUGAAAGGGUUGGAUCCGACGCCUCUAGAAGGCUACUAUAGGCUCUCCUUCUCAACUCCUACUCAAUACGUCCACGACGUGCAGAACGGUAACUUGUCGCUCAGAUCCAAGCUUGGGUACACGGGGAA